UCUAUCUCAUACCCGUCAUAAAUCAAAGAGGAUUUUGUACUCCAAAAAGGGGAAGUGUUUGAGUGUACACAGCUAUUUCCUUUGUAUAAUCUCUACAAGAUAAUCAGAAGUAUAUUCUUACCAUAGGACAUUGGUAAACUGGGGAAAAAUAUCAUUCAUGCACCUGGAAAAAGAAGAGGAAUGUGCAUACAAGAGAAUCUUUACGAUGAUUAUGUGCCAGAGCUAAGCGGGGGCCAUGAAAAGACUUCCAUCUUGUCUUUUUACAUCAGCUGAGGCCCCUCCCACCAUCUCCAACUGACGCUCGGGUGCCAGAGCUAAGAGGGGGCCAUGAAGAGACUUCCAUCUUGUCUUUUUACAUCAGCUGAGGCCCCUCCCACCAUCUCCAACUGACGCUCGGGUGCCAAAGCUAAGAGGGGGCCAUGAAGAAACUUCCAUCUUGUCUUUUUACAUCAGCUGAGGCCCCUCCCACCAUCUCCAACUGACGCUCGGGUGCCAGAGCUAAGCGGGGGCCAUGAAGAGACUUCCAUCUUGUCUUUUUACAUCAGCUGAGGCCCCUCCCACCAUCUCCAACUGACGCUCGGGUGCCAGAGCUAAGAGGGGGCCAUGAAGAGACUUCCAUCUUGUCUUUUUACAUCAGCUGAGGCCCCUCCCACCAUCUCCAACUGACACUCGGGUGCCAGAGCUAAGAGGGGGCCAUGAAGAGACUUCCAUCUUGUCUUUUUACAUCAGCUGAGGCCCCUCCCACCAUCUCCAACUGACGCUCGGGUGCCAGAGCUAAGAGGGGGCCAUGAAGAGACUUCCAUCUUGUCUUUUUACAUCAGCUGAGGCCCCUCCCACCAUCUCCAACUGACGCUCGGGUGCCAGAGCUAAGAGGGGGCCAUGAAGAGACUUCCAUCUUGUCUUUUUACAUCAGCUGAGGCCCCUCCCACCAUCUCCAACUGACGCUCGGGUGCCAGAGCUAAGAGGGGGCCAUGAAGAGACUUCCAUCUUGUCUUUUUACAUCAGCUGAGGCCCCUCCCACCAUCUCCAACUGACGCUCGGGUGCCAGAGCUAAGAGGGGGCCAUGAAGAGACUUCCAUCUUGUCUUUUUACAUCAGCUGAGGCCCCUCCCACCAUCUCCAACUGACGCUCGGGUGCCAGAGCUAAGAGGGGGCCAUGAAGAGACUUCCAUCUUGUCUUUUUACAUCAGCUGAGGCCCCUCCCACCAUCUCCAACUGACGCUCGGGUGCCAGAGCUAAGAGGGGGCCAUGAAGAGACUUCCAUCUUGUCUUUUUACAUCAGCUGAGGCCCCUCCCACCAUCUCCAACUGACGCUCGGGUGCCAGAGCUAAGAGGGGGCCAUGAAGAGACUUCCAUCUUGUCUUUUUACAUCAGCUGAGGCCCCUCCCACCAUCUCCAACUGACGCUCGGGUGCCAGAGCUAAGAGGGGGCCAUGAAGAGACUUCCAUCUUGUCUUUUUACAUCAGCUGAGGCCCCUCCCACCAUCUCCAACUGACGCUCGGGUGCCAGAGCUAAGAGGGGGCCAUGAAGAGACUUCCAUCUUGUCUUUUUACAUCAGCUGAGGCCCCUCCCACCAUCUCCAACUGACGCUCGGGUGCCAGAGCUAAGAGGGGGCCAUGAAGAGACUUCCAUCUUGUCUUUUUACAUCAGCUGAGGCCCCUCCCAGCAUCUCCAACUGACGCUCGGGUGCCAGAGCUAAGAGGGGGCCAUGAAGAGACUUCCAUCUUGUCUUUUUACAUCAGCUGAGGCCCCUCCCACCAUCUCCAACUGACGCUCGGGUGCCAGAGCUAAGAGGGGGCCAUGAAGAGACCUCCAUCUUGUCUUUUUACAUCAGCUGAGGCCCCUCCCACCAUCUCCAACUGACGCUCGGGUGCCAGAGCUAAGAGGGGGCCAUGAAGAGACUUCCAUCUUGUCUUUUUACAUCAGCUGAGGCCCCUCCCACCAUCUCCAACUGACGCUCGGGUGCCAGAGCUAAGAGGGGGCCAUGAAGAGACUUCCAUCUUGUCUUUUUACAUCAGCUGUGGCCCCUCCCACCAUCUCCAACUGACGCUCGGGUGCCAGAGCUAAGAGGGGGCCAUGAAGAGACUUCCAUCUUGUCUUUUUACAUCAGCUGAGGCCCCUCCCACCAUCUCCAACUGACACUCGGGUGCCAGAGCUAAGAGGGGGCCAUGAAGAGACUUCCAUCUUGUCUUUUUACAUCAGCUGAGGCCCCUCCCACCAUCUCCAACUGACGCCCGGGUGCCAGAGCUAAGAGGGGGCCAUGAAGAGACUUCCAUCUUGUCUUUUUACAUCAGCUGAGGCCCCUCCCACCAUCUCCAACUGACGCUCGGGUGCCAGAGCUAAGAGGGGGCCAUGAAGAGACUUCCAUCUUGUCUUUUUACAUCAGCUGAGGCCCCUCCCACCAUCUCCAACUGACGCUCGGGUGCCAGAGCUAAGAGGGGGCCAUGAAGAGACUUCCAUCUUGUCUUUUUACAUCAGCUGAGGCCCCUCCCACCAUCUCCAACUGACGCUCGGGUGCCAGAGCUAAGAGGGGGCCAUGAAGAGACUUCCAUCUUGUCUUUUUACAUCAGCUGAGGCCCCUCCCACCAUCUCCAACUGACGCUCGGGUGCCAGAGCUAAGCGGGGGCCAUGAAGAGACUUCCAUCUUGUCUUUUUACAUCAGCUGAGGCCCCUCCCACCAUCUCCAACUGACGCUCGGGUGCCAGAGCUAAGAGGGGGCCAUGAAGAGACUUCCAUCUUGUCUUUUUACAUCAGCUGAGGCCCCUCCCACCAUCUCCAACUGACGCUCGGGUGCCAGAGCUAAGAGGGGGCCAUGAAGAGACUUCCAUCUUGUCUUUUUACAUCAGCUGAGGCCCCUCCCAGCAUCUCCAACUGACGCUCGGGUGCCAGAGCUAAGCGGAGGCCAUGAAGAGACUUCCAUCUUGUCUUUUUAUAUCAGCUGAGGCCCCUCCCACCAUCUCCAACUGACACUCGGGUGCCAGAGCUAAGAGGGGGCCAUGAAGAGACUUCCAUCUUGUCUUUUUACAUCAGCUGAGGCCCCUCCCACCAUCUCCAACUGACGCUCGGGUGCCAGAGCUAAGAGGGGGCCAUGAAGAGACUUCCAUCUUGUCUUUUUACAUCAGCUAGAGGCCCCUCCCAGCAUCUCCAACUGACGCUCGGGUGCCAGAGCUAAGCGGGGGCCAUGAAGAGACUUCCAUCUUGUCUUUUUACAUCAGCUGAGGCCCCUCCCACCAUCUCCAACUGACGCUCGGGUGCCAGAGCUAAGCGGGGGCUAUGAAGAGACUUCCAUCUUGUCUUUUUACAUCAGCUAGAGGCCCCUAUCCACAAUAACAUGCUAUGCUAGUUUUAUAUCUGGAGCAGAAUGAAGGGGCCGGGAAGACAUCUUUCCACCAUGUCUCCUAUAUCAAUUUAAUGAUAUAAUGAUAUAUAAUAAUAUUAUACUACACUAAUAUUAUAAUACAUUGUAUAUACAUGUAAUAUUAAUAAUAAUAUUAUGAUGUAAUACAAUGUAAUAAUAAUUAUAAUUGACUAUUAUAAUUGUAUAUUUAUAUUACAUGCAAUAUUACUAAUAAUAUUGCGAUAUAGUUGUAUAAUAUAAUGUAUGUAUAUAUACUUGUAAACCGCCCUGAGUCCCCUUCGGGGUGAGAAGGGCGGUAUAUAAAUGUCGCAAAUAAAUAAUAAAUAAAUAAAUUAUGUGUUUUAA